ensembl:snRNA U1 U1 spliceosomal RNA
ACAUUUACUUGACAGAGGAAAUACCAUGAUCACAACGGUAGUUUUCCCAGGGUGAAGCUUAUCCAUUGCACGCUGGAUAUGCUGAUCCCUGCAAUUUCCCCAAAUUCGGGAAACUAGACUGAAUAAUUUGGGGUAGUGGGGGACUGCCUUUGUGCCCCCCCCAA